AAAUUCCAUAACUCACUUCAAUAAACUCCCCUUAAUAUUCCAAAUUUAACAACAUUAAAAUCUCCCAACCGGCGGCGGCUCCGCCGGCAGCGGCGGCCGGAGGUCAAUUCCGGCGACCUCCAAAACCUAUGAAAUUUUAACAGCAUCUUCCUCUCAUCAAGCUCUACAACUUUCAUAACUAGCACAAACACCAAUUCCAAGCCUAACUAGGGCAAUCGACUAAAAACAUCAAAAACACCAUAAAACUUCCACCUCAAAUUUCUCCUUACCUAGCUCAAGAGGGAGUGAGUCCUUUUAGGGCAAGGUUGCUGGGUUGGAGGGCUACAAAACCAUACCAAGCUUGCCCGGAUUGGUGGCCGGAGGAGGAAGUUCCGGCAAAAAAACCGAUUCGGCAGUCGAAGCUUUCGGGCGGCACCGCUCACUCACGGCGGCGCUAGGGAGGUUGUCACCGGUCUAGAAAUGUUGCUGGGAGGGAGACCGACCGAACGGAACCGGUCCGGCGGCGAACGGAGGCCGGACGGCGGCGGGAGGGCGGCCGGAAAACCGGGCAGCGGGAGGCUCGGGUGCGGAGAGGAAAUCGGGAGGGAGAGAGAAAGAAAAGAAGAAGAAAAUGGGUUGGGCUCGGCCCAGCCGACCCAACACUCCCUUUUUAACCCAAACUUCCAAAAUAAAAACACCCCGAAAAAUAAUACCCGAAUAAAAAUUACCUUUUACUAGCUAAAAUUUACCAUUUUUACCGUAGUCGUAUUUUCCUCAUACGAAUAAUCCUCCGCACAUAAUCGUCCCCGAAACCCCUCUAGGGACCAUUUAAACUAUUUACUCAAUGAUCGAGACGGUAAAAUUCUUAUUAUAAUCACGCUAGUAAAUAAGGUAAAAAUAUAAGGGUCGGGAUGUGACACAUUUUGUAGCCCUCCUCCCGUGCAACAACCCCUCCAAUCAGCUCACUCCCUCUUGAGCUAGGUAAGGAGAAAUGUGGAAUUGAAAUUUCUAGGGCUUUUAGGAUGUUUUUGUUCGAUUAGCCUAGUUAGGCUUGGAAUUGGGUGAUGUGUUGGUCAGGAAAGUUGUAGAGCAUGAUGAGGAGAUUAUUCUAUCAAAAUUUCAUAGGUUUUGGAGGUCGCCGGAAUUGGCCUCCGGCCGCCGCUGCCGGCGGAGCCGCUGGCGGUUAGGAGAUUUUUAGGGUUUUAAGUGUGGAAUAUUAAGAGGAGUAUAUUGAUGUGAUUUAUGGAAUUUUUGGAUGAGAUUUGGAUAGGUUUGUGAAUUUCCGAAGUUUGGUAUUUUUGGCGAUUAAUUAAUGUAGAAUCUGGCCGUAGGAUUUAAGUCGUAUUUUGGGGAGGUUGUAUUUACGACUGUUGAGUAUGAUAUUUAAGUUCGGAUCGUUCCGAUUUAAGAAUAUCGAAGUUAGGCAAUGAUGAGCGUAUUUAUGGCUCUCGGGUAUUUUUGCCUAUUUUGAUUAAAUAUUGGAUUAUUGGUUGGGAAAUUAAUAUUAUAUUUGGAACAGGACGUGAGGAGGCUCGAGCAGACGAGGCCCCAGAUCGACAUCAGGCUUAGGCCUAAUUUGUGAGUGGACUUUUAUUUUAAAUAAAUGCAUGCUAUAGUUCAUGGUUGAACAAUUAAUGUUGCGGAAUAUUUUAACGUCAUUUUAAUUUGACAAUUUUUAUUUCUCUUGGAGAGUUACCGAAAAUGGGAUUUUCGGUGGAUAUAAAUAUGUAUUUAUGAGAGAGUAUGUAUAUAAAUGCUAGCUAGCCAUAUGUGUCUGUCCACCUUAAUGGCGUAGCAUAUAGCCGCAUUAUGGUGUGACGUGAGCGUUGGACGUAAGCGUAGUAGCCCUAUUUGAGUGUGUAAUUCAUAUAGGGGGUAUGGACACAUAUUUAUACACUCGUGUGUCCACUUUGAUGGCGUAGUGUAGCACCGCAUUAAGGCGUGAUGUGAGCGUUGGACGCGAGCGUAGUAGCCCUAUAUAGACCCAUGAAUUUAUAUAGGGAGUAUGGACGAGUGUAAAUACAUAUAUAUAUUAUAGAGUCUGAGAGGCUCGAUAUUUUUGAGAUAAAAGUUUUAUCGCUUGCGGCAUGCAUUCGAUUUUUCCUUAGAAAUUAAUUUGGGGAAACAUAAAUAUUUUAUUUAUUAUUUUAUUUUUGUCCACUCACUCUAACGUUAUUAAAUGUUUUCCCCUGGGCCCUUCGUUUUAAAUUGCCCAGUCUGCAGAGUUCGGGUUGGAUCUAGUAAGAGGCGAGGCAUAGUCACCCGCAUUUCUGCCAGUUUUCGACAGUAGGUUACCUGUUCAACCUACUCGUGUUUUCUUGCUUCCGCUAGUGUUUAGUAGCUCUGAAUACUUUGGGAUUAUUGUAUAUUAUGUGUAGAAUUUCUGAAGGAUAAUUAUGUGAUGUUUGGAAGUGUUGAAUUAAGAGUGUAAUUUGGAAUUUUCGAGUUACGGUUGUCCAUCUGCAAGGGAGAUUUCCUUAAUCUUUUCAGUAAAUUUUCCUUGGAGGUGGUCCCCGCACGACUUACUCCGGGUUUCAGGGUGAAAUUCGGGGUGGGUCGUGUCAAUAUAUAUAUAGGCCGUUUCAGAUACGGACGUCCGCACUGGCCUUAAAGUGCGGACGUUCCCUCCGUUCGCCACCGUACAACGCCUGCGAGGGUGCGCCUCCACCCCAAUAGACUCCAGCAGCGUCCCCGACCAUUUCCCUCCCCGACGAGUCCGCCGAAUUCCAGUUUUCCGGCCAGAUCACCCAAAACUUCAAACAAAGUCAAUCUAGCCGGAAAACUAGAAUUCGGUGAACUCGCCAAGGAUGGAAAGUGGUCAGGGAAGCUGCUGGAGUUCGUUGGAGUGGAGGCGCGCCCUCGCCGGUGUCGUACGGUGGCGAAAGGAGGGAUGUCUGCACUUUAAGAGCCGUGCGGAUGUCCGCACCUAAUACUCACUGUAUGUGUGUGUGUGUGUAUAUAUAUAUAUUAUCAUAUAUAGGGUAGAUAUGAAGCAGAUGUCCACAACUAUGUUAAAGUGCGAACGACGACUCAAAUCAACUCCGGCGGCACCGAUUGCUUCGUUGUUCUUGCUGGUUCCAAACAAGAUCUCCAUCUUGAGCUUCUUCUCGCUGGCAGACUCGAUGGUGAUGAGUUUCGAAUCCGGGAUUGAGCUUCUUCAAGUUUCUGCAGUUUUUCCGACGUCAAACCUUCUUCUACGAUCAUCUUGGCAUUCAACUUGACGCCAUUGGCGUCUGAGGAUGGAAGAAGAGCUGCCAUAUGCAGCCACCGGAGUUGAUUUGAGUCGCCGUCCGCACUUUAACAUCUUUGUAGACGUCCGCUAAAUAUAUAUAUAUAUAUAUAAUCCUUCUCUGCUAAGGAUGUCCUUAUUUAUUCUUAUGGUGUGAAUUUUCACUUUAGACUCACUUUUCGAUCGAAUUUUCACAUCUCCACCGUCUAGUCUUUAGAUAUUAAUGUAUAGUUCAUCUCUGCAAAAAUUUCAGCCAAUUUGGUUAUCAUUAAGGCACACAAAUUCGAUUAAACCAAUGGAUGAACAUAAUUCUGUCGAACUUGAACCGUUCAUGUUUAUAACAGAAAAAUGCAGUUUUGAGUGCCUUAAUAAUAACCAAAUUGGCUGAAAUUUUGUAGAGAUGGUCUAUACAUU
rnacentral:lncRNA from 1 species